GUUGCUUCUUAUGGUGAACUCCCUGUCAAUUGGUUGGAGCUGUUCAAGUUUCCGAAACAUAGAUUACUAAUUGCCAGUAUUAAACAGCGCUGUGUAUACUUUUUGCUUACACUGUGUUACCUGUCUCCUGGUACAUGU